AGGACCCUCCAUCCCAAUUUCCCCAGGCCGGCCUCGCCAGAUGCCCGGUGCGAAUUAGCGAUCGGAAGCCACACAGCCGAUGAUAAUCAUGGUGGAAGUACCCUAAGUAUGCCUAGAGGUUUCCAAAACAUUUUAAGGGCUCUCAGAGGCCAAGUUUCCAGUUCAUUCCAGUCAUAAAAGCCCUCGUUGCUGUCCCCUCCCAUAGGUCAGACAGAGUUAAAAGGGCCCUGAGCAACACAACAAAGCCUCCAAAAUCCCAGAGAAGCACCCACAAUGAGUCACCGGGCCCACUCGCUCCCUACCGUCCCCUCCACCCCACCAGCGAGGCUGUUGUCUGACCAGCAUGCCCCUUGGGGUCGGGCUGUUGGAAGAAUGACCCCAGCCUCAUGUUGGACACCACUUGGGCUUUUCCAGGGAAGUAAAUUAGAAGGGUCAGAGUGGGUGGAAGCCAGGUGGUGCAAACACACUGUCACCAGAUUCGGAGGCCGGCUGCGGUGGAGCCUAGCUUUAACACAGGCUUCCUGGAUUCUAGACAAGGGGCUUACACUGCCCCCUGAGGUCCUGUCUAGAGAGGCGGCCUCUCAUCCCCUCCUGCCUCCCUGUCCAUGUCCUGCGGCUACCCCCUCCUUCCGCCACAGUUUUGUGACCAGCGAGGAGGCCUACCUGGUACCCGGGCUCCUGACCCUCUCCAAGGCAGCUUCAUUUGAGAGGGUGUGCAGGAUUCCAGGGGUUCUCCAAGAGGACCAGACAUGAAGCUGGACCACACGGAGAGCCAGGCAGGAGCCGUGCAGGCGACCCAGAAAAGGCUUCCCUACAUCCUGGAGCAGCCAGGGGCCCAGUCAGGUAGUCCCUGGGGGGAUGCCCUGGCCUGGGGGGAUGCCUGGGCCUGGGUCCCAGCCUCCAACACCACAGCUAUGUGACCUUGCUCAAAUUCUGUGCCUCAAUGUCCCUUUUUGUAAAAUGAGGGGAUUGAAUAAGGUGAAUGGUUCUCAAAUGUUUAUUUAGCAGUAGAAUUCUUUUCUUCAAAAGAAAUCUGAAGUGGAAGGCCAGAAUAUAGAACAGAUGAGUAGUGCUGCUGGGUUGAAGUGAGGGGGUCAGGGCCUUGCCCCUCUCCACCACUCCCCCAACCAAGAAAUCCCUGGGCUGCUCUGUGCAACUUGAGGGUCUGGAGGAACCCAUCUGAAAAGCACUGGAUCAGGUGCUCCCUUCUACCACUGCCCCCGGUCACAGUGGUGCCACUCUCACUGGGUCACAGCAGAGGAUCCCCCAGCCCCAGGCCCAAGGAGUGUCUGUGUGACCACACAGUGAGGCCAAGGAUGAGAAAUCAGCUUUUCUCUUUUCCCCUGGGGAAACAGGAAAGGAGAUGGGCCUUGGGUACAGCAAGAAAGAUUAGGGUUAGACUGUGCUCCUGGCAGGAUGGAUAGAAGUAGGAGGAGGACCCAUGGCUCAAGGAAAUGCCCUCCCCUUUGACCAAACAGGAGCUUUCUUCCUCUGAGCAAGGCCAAGGGCAGCUCUGGAGAUGGAGGCGUGGGUUACACGCCUCCGCAGGGCUCUGCCUCUCUAGACUUCCUCAGACUCUGGAGUUUGGAAGGAUCUAGGGGCUGCGUGGGCAUUUUGUUCUUCACCUAAUAGCCAUGUGGUGCAGAGAAUGCUUGGAAAUUAUACCAUCUGUUAAUUAUCCUUUGAAUUGGGGUUGGGUAAUGAGACUCUCAUUUCUGGUGAAGGCCCAAGCCAACCCGUGGAGAAGCUGCAACUCUCCAUUCAUCUCGCUCCCUUUGUUGCUAAAAUAAGCUUUCUGGGUGGGAGGAAAGAGUAGCCCUGGCUCUGGAUCACGGAAGGUGGUUCUGGGGCCUUGCACCUUGAGGCAGGGGUUGCCAGGGAAGGCAUGAGCUCAGAAGCCCCUUCCAGGUGGGUGGCCUUUCCACCCAAAGGCAGAUAGGUUGGGGGAUCCAAGGAACCCUUUCCUUCAUCCCCAAGCACAUUUGGCAAAUAGUCCUUAAUCCUCCCCAGUCCUCCCUCCGGGGGCACAGGACAGAGCUCUCUCCCCAUCACUUCCUCAGAUACUUCCAACUCCCAAAAGCAGGAGGGAAAUUUCCAAGUUUCAUAUGCAUCACUGAGAGUCUCAAAUGAGGGAGGGGUUGCCCUGGUGGAGGCCUCCCUGAUCCCCAGGGAAGGGCUGCCUGCUUCAUGGAGCUUUCCAGUUGUAAGGAACCUAUGGACCUCCCUCCUGUGUGUAAGGGACAUUUAGGCCUCCCUUCUGCAUAGCUUUUAGGUGCUAUCAAGGGGCAGCAAGGGCUUGGGGUCUGUUAAAAGAGAAUUUAUUGUUCUUCUAGUCCAAACCUCCCACUUCACAGUGGAGGCUCUGGGAAGGAAGGAAACCUGCUUGGCUAGCCUUGCGGCUGUCCUUUAGCUCUGGUGGGAUUUCCUUACUCAGGUUGCUUCCUGAGGACCCCCUGGAUAAGGCAUGGCCCUGGCUUUCAACACAACAGGGUCGCAUGGGUGAAGUGCUCCAGAAGCAACUGAGAGAAAAGGCUAAAGGAAUUCAGAGGACAGAGCAGUGAGGGUGGAGGAAAUCCCAGAGGGCCUCUAGAGGAGACGGGACUUGGGCUGCAUCUUCAAGAAUCAGGAACAGCAUUCCUGGAAGAGGAAUUCAUCAGUUAAGUCACUUAAUCUACACAUUAAGUGUCUUCUCCAUGAUUAUACAGCUAGUAAUGGAAGAGCUAGGAUUUGGACCCCGGCAAUCUGACCCCAGAGCCCACUCUCUUAAGCAGUACACUAUGAAUGAAUGAAAGGAAUGAAUGAAAUGCAAGCAUCAGCUUGGCUGGAGCUGAAGAUUGGGGUGUCUCUGCUCGGCAGUGAAAGUAAUUUUUUUUUAAACUAAUAAACAUUUUUAGGUUUAAAAAAUCUCCCCCAGUUUUU
rnacentral:tRNA from 10 species